AACGAACGCUGGCGGCAGGCCUAACACAUGCAAGUCGAGCGCGCCCGUCGGGGUGAGCGGCGGAGGGGGGAGGAACGCGGGGGAACGUGCCCGUGUCUACGGAAUAGCCUCGGGAAACUGAGAGUAAGACCGUAGACGCCCAUAGGGGGAACGAUUUAUCGGAAAAGGCUCGGCCCGCGUUGGAUUAGGUAGUUGGGGGGGUAAUGGCCUACCAAGAAGACGAUGCAUAGCUGGUGUGAGAGGAUGCUCCGCUACACUGGGACUGAGACACGGCCCAGACUCCUACGGAAGGCAGCAGUGGGGAAUCUUAGACACUGGGGGCAACCCUGAUCUCGCCAUGCCGCGUGAGUGAUGAAGGCCUUAGGGUUGUACAGCUCUUUCAGCUGGGAAGAUAAUGACGGUACCAGCAGAAGAAGCCCCGGCUAACUCCGUG
rnacentral:rRNA from 1 species